AAAAAAAAAAUUAUAAUAAUGGACAUAUUAUACACUGUAGAAAUAUUCAGGUGGUUUUCUAAAGUAGGGGUGCUUGCUUAACCAACACAAACAGUGGCUGCAGACUUUCCUAAGUCGAAGGAACUUCUGUACAGCUGGUGGCGGCAGUAAAGGAUGGCGACAAUGGCACGCUUGAGUGAUGGGGUUUUCUCCAAGGUACAGUUAAUAUUAACAUUGUAUCUGACUUUAAUGUGUUGCACACAUUAAAGAAAUACAGUAAGAAUGUGUGCCUUUAAGUCCCUGGAAAACUUGUAAAGACAGCCAGCCCAUUUUCCACCACAAAGACUUCAAAAUCUACACAACAGGUAUGACGACAGUGAUCAAAGACCGUCUCUUCUAGGCGAGGGUCACAAACAGUAAGAAAUCUUGCCACAUGGCUGUUACUUGUAACUGCCACAAACAGGAAGGUUUCUGUUUUCAGGGCAUCAAAAGUCUGUCCAAGCAAGAUGAGCACAAGGCAGCUGCUGAUAACCUUGCACAGAAUCAAAGAGCAAAUCUCAAGAGCCUAAGAUGACAUUCGACUUUACAGAUCCUUAUAAAUGCAGUUCACUUCUUGAACUCAGAAACAAUCAAUUCUAAAUCAUCCACAUGUAGUUGACACUCUAGAUUGUCUUCAGGGAGAGUUUAAAUUUUAAACUCAGGGUCCUACCACUAAUACAAUCACUACUCACAAAAUAUGACACCCCCCUCCCCCGCCUGCCACCCAUUAUUGCCACUUAAUAAGAAUUAACACUAGCUUCCAGCCAUCUGCUGCUGGGGGAAUGUCGCUGGGAGCUACUGGGACAAAAUGUAAUUCUCACAGUACAUCCCAGAGCAAAUAUAAUUGGUGGAUUAGCUGCAGUGUUGGUUGUAACCUUCAUUAGCAUGACAAUGACUUCGAGUUGACUGAAGAUUUACUUUCAGUAAAGUGUCUUCAAGAAUGACCCUUCCUCAAGAGACAGCCCUAUUAUGAAAAGGCAGUUGCCUACCAAAUGGGUUUUCAGGGGAUAUGAAAUGUGUGAAAAACAAGACUUAGACAAUUUUAAAGAGCAAAUACGACUAUAUAAUCAAAUAAAAUGAUUAUAGUUACACGGGAAGAUUACAUAUUUAUAUUCUAAUAAUGCUGCCAGUUUCUUUGAAAUUAUUUUCAGCUCAGUUUUGGAACCACCCAAGAAUACUGGUUUUAUUUAUAUUGACCUUAUUUUUAAUCACAAAUGAUAUGGCUUGGCUCAGUAAUUUUUAUUAUUUACCCAACUGGCUCUGAUAACUUUGGGCCAUUUCCAAAAACCAAAAUCUUCCUUUAAAGAAAGAUGCGGAGUUCCUUUCGCGGCUCAGUGGUUAAGGAUCCCGACUAGUAUCUGUGAGGAUGCGGGUUUGAUCCCUGGCCCUGCUCAGUGGAGGAUUUGGCAUUGCCAUGAGCUGGGGUGUAGGUUGCAGAUGCCCCUUGGAUCCUGAGUUGCUGUGGCUCUGGUGUAGCUGCAGCUCUGAUUUGACCCCUGGCCUGGAAACUUCCAUAUGCCAUGGGAGCAGCCCUAAAAAGCAAAAAAAAAAAAAGAAUGAAGAUUUGCCACCAUGAGGAUAUUUCAGAAAUGUGAUUAGAGUGCUUACGUCAAUCUCAAAAACACAUUAUAAUUUAGAAUAAGCUGAGUUUUUACCUAGGUGACUAAUUGGAACGUAACAGAUCAUCAAGUGAAAGAAAAUGAAAAUCUCAUUAUAUCAUCAUACCUAUUUCUUCCUUCCAAAAAGGGGAAUACGGCUGCGUCUGUGAACAUUACUGCAAAGCACACAGAAUCGCAGAUGCUUCUCUCCCUUCCCAUUAGCAGGCAAGUAUGGGGUUCAAACCCCAGACUUGCUCGAAGGCCAACUUCACAGAGCAUCUAAGGGAAUAAAAUAUGGACUUGAUGCAUUUCAACCAAGAAUGAGGAGGAAGCAUUGAAUCCUGAGGUGGGGUGAAGGUAACAAAAAGAAAAUCCAGACCGAGGGGGCACAAAUGAGUUGAUGGCAGGUCAGGAGAAAGACCAUGGAAAUGGGAGUGGAAAGGGCCUGGGCUGACUUCCUUUGGGGCAAGGCAUCGAAAUUUCAAGAUUUUUUUAAAGUCUCAGACUCCAGUAUUAGCAUCACGUCCUCAUUUUAACCGUUUGCAGGACUGCUGGGAGAGGUGAAAAGCAUGCCUGGGUGCCUUUGGAAGCUGUGAGAACACUGCGGGAUUUGAGGCCUCAUAACCGUAAAUGCCAACAUCACCAUCAUAUAAGGGACGCGUGAGAGGUUAAAACAAAGUAAUAUUAAAGGUAAUAAAAGUUGUCAGGGGAGUUCCCUCCACGGCUCGGCGGUUAACUCUUCCGACAGGGAUCCAUGAGGACGCAGGUUCGAUCCCUGGCCUCGCUCAGUGGUUAAGGAUCUGGCGUUGCCGUCAGCUGUGGUGGAGGUCGCAGACGUGGCUUUCAUCCUGUGUUGCUGUGGCUGUGGUGUCGGCCAGCAGCUGUAGCUCUGAUUUGACCUCUAGUCUGGAAACUUCAUGUGCCACAGGUGUGGCUUACCCGUUUGUGGUCUAUGGAAUCCAUUUUCCCCCCUUUCUGCAGUACACUCGCUUCUAUCCGUUGUUCUGUGACCGCUUCUGCUUGCCACAAUUCCUCAAA
rnacentral:lncRNA from 1 species